rnacentral:rRNA from 1 species
UGAGUAACCUGCCCUUAACUCUGGGAUAAGCCUGGGAAACUGGGUCUAAUACCGGAUAUGACUCCUCAUCGCAUGGUGGGGGGUGGAAAGCUUUUUGUGGUUUUGGAUGGACUCGCGGCCUAUCAGCUUGUUGGUGAGGUAAUGGCUCACCAAGGCGACGAUCAGUAGCCGACCUGAGAGGGUGAUCGGCCACAUUGGAACUGAGACCACGGUCCAGACUCCGUACGGGAGG